GAUGAACGCUGGCGGCGUGCCUAAUACAUGCAAGUCGAGCGAACAGACGAGGAGCUUGCUCCUCUGACGUUAGCGGCGGACGGGUGAGUAACACGUGGAUAACCUACCUAUAAGACUGGGAUAACUUCGGGAAACCGGAGCUAAUACCGGAUAAUAUAUUGAACCUCAUUGUUCAAUAGUGAAAGACGGUUUUGCUGUCACUUAUAGAUGGAUCCGCGCCGCAUUAGCUAGUUGGUAAGGUAACGGCUUACCAAGGCAACGAUGCGUAGCCGACCUGAGAGGGUGAUCGGCCACACUGGAACUGAGACACGGUCAAGACUCCUACGGGAGGCAGCAGUAGGGAAUCUUCCGCAAUGGGCGAAAGCCUGACGGAGCAACGCCGCGUGAGUGAUGAAGGUCUUCGGAUCGUAAAACUCUGUUAUUAGGGAAGAACAAAUGUGUAAGUAACUAUGCACGUCUUGACGGUACCUAAUCAGAAAGCCACGGCUAACUACGUG
rnacentral:rRNA from 1 species